rnacentral:rRNA from 1 species
CCUAGGGUGGCAGCAGUGGGGAAUAUUGGGCAAUGGAGGCAACUCUGACCCAGCAACGCCGCGUGAAUGAUGAAGGUCUUCGGAUUGUAAAGUUCCUUUCUUAGGGAAGAAGAAAGUGACGGUACCUUAGGAAUAAGCCUCGGCUAACUACGUGCCAGCAGCCGCGGUAAUACGUAGGAGGCAAGCGUUAUCCGGAAUGACUGGGCGUAAAGGGUGCGUAGGUGGUUUGACAAGUUAGUAGCGCAACUCCGGGGCUCAACUUCGGAAGUACAACUAAAACUGUGGGACUUGAGUGCAGGAGGGGAGAGCGGAAUUCCUAGUGUAGCGGUGGAAUGCGUAGAUAUAAGGAGGAACACCAGUGGCGAAGGCGGAUCGCUAGACUGUAACUGACACUGAGGCACGAAAGCGUGGGGAGCAAACAGGAUUAGAUACCCUUGUAGUC